rnacentral:tRNA from 2 species
GCCCAAGUGGCGGAAUUGGUAGACGCGCACGUUUGAGGGGCGUGUGGCGAAAGCCGUGCCGGUUCGAGUCCGGCCUUGGGCACCA